CAGUUAGUAAGUCAAAGGGCCAGGAUCCAAGCCAGGCCUGCAAGCCCCUCUACAGGAGAAUGCUCAGCUGGCUGUGGCGUCUCUGAGUUUGUGCACAUGUGCACAUGUCUCUGAGGAUAAGGAGGGGCUGGUGCCUGCAUGCCUGUGUGUGGAUCUGAGACCUGGGUGUUCAUGUGGGCAAGGUCUGAGGCCCCGCGCAGCCUGGUGGGCUCAGUGCCUAACAAGCUGCUUUCCCGCAGCCCUGGGCAUAGUCUGUAACUCUCCCGCCACCUCUGCUUCUGCUCUCCCUGUUCAACUUGCCCCCAGGCUCUCACUGCUUGCCUUUCCUCUCUAACAGGUGUGGCCUCCAGACAAGAGAGGGCUCCCUUCCUUUUGGGUCUUCUUCUCUGGGAACUCUAAGAUAUAGCGCCCACCCCUCCAGGCUAGGGAAGCAGGUCACUGACUCGGCUGCCCUACACCCCCCCAUCCCCACCCCCACCCCCGUCGCUUCAGCCCCUCUGGCUAAGGCCGAGGUACUCCUUCCUUCCUUCCCUCAACCCUGACCCCGACCCAAGCCAGCAGCAUUCUCAUCUCUCUGCCUGCCAGUCCCACCUGCGCUGUUAGAGCCUCACCCCCUCAGCCACCUCCCUCCAGUUUGAUGACCUCACACCACGUGUCACCAAGUGACGGAAAGGACCCUCACACCCAUUACCUCCUUUGAGCCCUACGACAAGCCCUGCUUGGAGAAGGAGUGCGUGGCGUUUUCUGCAACUGCGAAGCAAAGAACCUGAAUUCCAAGUGACUGCACAGACACGCAGCAAGUUCUGGAAGCACACCUCCGGGUUCUUACACCAAUAGGUGACUCUCACACCGUGUUCCACCAUCAGGAAGCUCCUCGAUGCGACUCAGAUCACAUCUGGGUCCCACAUUCCCGCUGAGGCCGGCAGUUCCGGCAACUUUGGUCAUACGGAUGGAGACAGCACGGCACCACGCGGGAGGUGUUCUGUCAACAGUGUCCGGUGGAUGGAGCUGCUGGCUUGCAGCAUCUCGAGUUCGGGCCUGCCUCUCCAGCAGAUGUAUUUCUCCCCCGGUAAGACUGAGAUUGAGCCCAGCACCCUCGGGGAAUGCCCGAGCAGCAUUCUCCAGGAAGGGGCAGCCAAGGCUGACAUACAGCAGGACUGCUGUCGUUAAUCUUCACCAACUCUUCCAACGACAAAAAGUCAAAAACUGAAGACAAGCAAAUAUUUCAGUGCAUUUUUUUCCACUAGUGGACAUGUGAAAAACUAAGAUCACCCAGGGAAGCCUGUGCACCCUUAGACUGCAGCCCUAAGAGUCACAGGACACACCAAGGGCAGCACCAGAAGACCCAUCUGAACAAAGGUGGGCACACGGGCAGGCCCCCGAGCCUGCGCAUAGGCAGGGAGAGAUGUAGCUGUGUGUUCAGCCACUUCCAAAACCACACACAAAGCUACAGCCAGAAAUAUGUGGGGCCCGGCUCCAUGCCCAUACGCAGAGGCAAGGCUGCAGAGACACACCUGUGGCACCCUCUGGGCACCCCCCCCCAUGCCCACUGACCCCGAGUGGGGGUGGACUUCCUCCCUGCAGCUCAGGCCCUGACAGUAGAGCUGUG
rnacentral:lncRNA from 10 species